rnacentral:misc_RNA from 1 species
UACGGAGGGUGCAAACGUUGCUCGGAAUCAUUGGGCGUAAAGCGAGCGUAGGCGGCUCUGUAAGUCGGAUGUGAAAGCCCUCGGCUCAACCGAGGAAGUGCACUCGAAACUGCAGAGCUUGAGUACCGGAGAGGGUGACGGAAUUCCCGGUGUAGAGGUGAAAUUCGUAGAUAUCGGGAGGAACAUCAGUGGCGAAGGCGGUCACCUGGACGGUAACUGACGCUGAGGCUCGAAAGCGUGGGGAGCAAACAGG